rnacentral:lncRNA from 1 species
CUGACACUGUUUCCACUGUUUCCCCAUCUAUUUCCCAUGAUGUGAUGGGAGCAGCUGCCAUGAUCUUCAUUUUCUGAAUGUCGAAUAAACAUGUUUAGACUAACAUUAUCUGAGUAUUACUGAAUAUGCUAUCCUUCAACAUAACUUUCUUCAGUUGGAAAAAAAAGUGAAAUAGUCACAGUAUUGUAAGCAGUUUUACAGAUUAGCUAGUAUACCUGUAUCAUUUUAUAGAUCAGACAACACAGUGAAAUUGUCAAAUAAUUACAUAAGAAACAGGUUUCCGGCCACCUUACCCAGGGAUCAUUUUGUGGCAUCAUAUUUCCACCCAUCAGACACCCAAUUUUCCCAAGUUCCCUCCUAUAAUGGCAUAAUGGUCAUUUUAAGACUUUGAGGAAAGUUAUCAUAGCAGUAUAGUUCCAUUUAAGGCUGAGAUGAUCUACUUAGCAGUUCUUAAAAAUAUAAAAUGUGCCUACCUGAGGUGAACAACUAUUUCGCUUUUUAACAGAAGGCCCUAGAGCAUGAAAAAUGAGGGAACACAUCACAAUCUUUUUCCAAGCAGUUUUUUCAUUUGGAUUUCAAUCAUGCUGAAUCAGUGGCAAUUACCUUCAAAUAGCUAUUUCAUGACUCCUGAAAACCUUUUCUUUCUAUGUUUCCUCACAGAAACUGUCCAUGUUAGUUGAGAAUCAAGUAACUAUUCUAAAAUAGGCCUCAAAGAAGGAAUAACGCAGGAAAUGAAUAUGUGUACACAGAGAAAAUGUGUAUAUGAUAAGCACUCACUUAUAUGGAACUUGUGGGAAACUAAGAUAUUAUUCUUAUUCCACAUUUUCCCAUCUGACACCUGCCUGUAAAUAUCGUGAACUUUCAUUGGCUUUUACAUAGCAGGACCUAGAGGGAGAGAGCCCUAAAAUUUCUACAGAAUGUUAUGAAUUGGAAAAUCCUUUAGAAAGCAUGGCCAUCUCAUUCUCACAAAAUUUUGGAGGUGGUCCAUUGCCAUUUUACAGCUGUGAAAAUGAAAAGCAUUUCAAAAGGUUAAGUAACUUGUCUAAGACACUACUGGGAGCAGCGGUCAAGUCUCAAAUCUAGAUCUUUUCAGAUUUCAAGUGCUUUCUUUUAACCAAGACUCACUCCCAUUUGCUGUGAUUUCUCUGCUGACAUAACACCCUUGUACUUACUAAUCUGCCUACCUCCUCUCAGAAGACUGUGAGCUUUUGUAGGCUAAGAACCACACCUGCCCUACUUUUAUAUAGCCAACACAACACCUGGUGAAGAGCAGGCACUUGACUCACUGAAUGCAGAAAAAAGAAUUCCAUCUCAGGGUCAGCUGUGAAUUUUGCUUUCUGUGUUAAAAACAAAGGGCUAUAGAAUUAUCAGAUACAGCACAUUAUAAAAUGAUACUAUUACAAACACUGAAAGGAAAAUUCAUGAGGAAAUUUAGGUUGUAUAUAUAGUAGAAUCAAAUUUGUGUAAGCUCAUCAUAGUUUAUUGACAAGUAAAUAAAAAGUGGAAAAUACAGAAAUUAGGGAAAAUAUUUAAGAAAACUGUAUUGUUGUUCAGUCGCCCAGUCAUGUCUGACUCUUUGCAGCCCCAUGGACUGCAGCACGCGGGCCUCCCUGUUCCUCACCAUCUCCCAAAGUCUGCUCAAGCUCAUGUCCAUUGCAUCUGGAUGAACAUCCUGUGAUGGCCAUCCAGCCAUCUUAUCCUCUGAUGCCCUCUUCUCCUUCUGCCCUCAA